rnacentral:rRNA from 1 species
CCUACGGGGUGCAGCAGUGAGGAAUAUUGGUCAAUGGCCGGAAGGCUGAACCAGCCAUGCCGCGUGAAGGUCAGUGCCCUAUGGGCGUUAAACUUCUUUUGUGCGGGAGCAAUAAUGGUCACGUGUGGCCAGACGAGAGUACCCUACGAAUAAGCAUCGGCUAACUCCGUGCCAGCAGCCGCGGUAAUACGGGGGAUGCAAGCGUUAUCCGGCUUUAUUUGGUUUAAAGGGUGCGUAGGCUGGGAGGUAAGUCAGCGGUGAAAUGCCCCCGCUCAACGGGGAGAAGUGCCGUUGAUACUGGCUUGCUGGAAUGCGGAUGCCGUGGGAGGAAUGUGUGGUGUAGCGGUGAAAUGCAUAGAUAUCACACAGAACACCGAUUGCGAAGGCAUCUCACGAAUCCGCGAUUGACGCUGAUGCACGAAAGCGUGGGUAUCAAACAGGAUUAGAUACCCCAGUAGUU